UACGAAGGGUGCAAGCGUUGUUCGGAAUCACUGGGCGUAAAGCGCGCGUAGGCGGCUUGCCAAGUCAGAGGUGAAAUGCCGGGGCUUAACCCCGGAACUGCCUUUGAAACUGGCAAGCUUGAGACUCGGAGGGGAGUGGGGAAUUUCUAAUGUAGCGGUGAAAUGCGUAGAUAUUAGAAGGAACACCGGUGGCGAAGGCGCCACUCUGGACGAGUACUGACGCUGAGGCGCGAAAGCGUGGGGAUCAAACAGG
rnacentral:rRNA from 1 species